GCAAUGCGCGAAAAAUACGCUAGAGGCUCGGACGUGGUAAUCCAUGACGGCGGCCACGGUGACAGGAGUCUCUAGCACAACUGAAAUACAGACUAAACAAAUCUAAAAAGAUAUAGCCUCUGGUGCAACAAUAAUGAACGUAUCCAAACCAAUCAGAGACAGCGAUUUGAGGACAUCAACAGAAAAUAAAAAAACAAGAAGUAAAGCACUGCAAAUCAAACAACUGCUCGACUGAGGAGUUGAAGAAAAAAAGACAGCUGCACAAUCCUAAAACUGUGAAGGCAGUCUGUCGUCUACACAACUCAGAGGCACUAUCAACAAGAGCAAAGAUUAAGUUCACCACAUAAUAAGAAGGCCACUUCAUUUUUAGUGGGAGCACUGGCCACAAGCUUGGAACUGAAGGCCUUGAUAAAAAUGACUUUGGUAAUUUUCAUUGUUAUU